rnacentral:rRNA from 1 species
GACGAACGCUGGCGGCGUGCUUAACACAUGCAAGUCGAACGGAAAGGCCUUUUCGGAGGUACUCGAGUGGCGAACGGGUGAGUAACACGUGGGUGAUCUGCCCUGCACUCUGGGAUAAGCCUGGGAAACUGGGUCUAAUACCGGAUAGGACCGCACUUUAGUGUGUGUGGUGGAAAGUUUUUUCGGUGUAGGAUGAGCCCGCGGCCUAUCAGCUUGUUGGUGGGGUAAUGGCCUACCAAGGCGGCGACGGGUAGCCGGACUGGGAGGUUGGUCGGCCACAUUGGGACUGAGAUACGGCCCAGACUCCUACGGGAGGCAGCAGUGGGGAAUAUUGCACAAUGGGCGCAAGCCUGAUGCAGCGACGCCGCGUGGGGGAUGACGGCCUUCGGGUUGUAAACUCCGUUCGCCAGGGACGAAGCGUUUUGUGACGGUACCUGGAGAAGAAGCACCGGCUGACUACGUG